GCUGGGCGUGGUGGCGCACGCCUGUAAUCCCAGCUACUCAGGAGGCUGAGGCAGGAGAAUCUCUUGAACCCAGGAGGCAGAGGUUGCAGUGAGCUGAGAUCGUGCCACUGCACUCUAACCUGGGCAACAGAGCGAGACUCCACCUCAG
rnacentral:SRP_RNA from 2 species